GAUGGAGGAUGGAGAUCUCCUGGGGACAUCUGGUAACCCUGGGGCUGAAUUUGUAUAGUUCUUCUCAACUGGGACUCUGAAAGAGGACUGUUCCUUCGUAUGAGGCAGGGAGUGAUGGCAGUCAUGAAAAUGCCACAGGUCAACCUAACUGAAGCAGAUAAAGAAGGAGGAAUAUUUAUUACAAGGUAGAAACUAUGAGGUAGAGAAGAGACUGAAAGUGCCCUCCUCAUCCAAGAUGCACAUGGCUCCCAGACUCCCUCUCCUUCUGGAUUCAAGCCCCAAACACAUUCCCAGCCUGCCCUCCUGGAGUCUCGUGGACCAUGCAAAGUGUUAUCAAAGCACCCUGGAGCUGAAACUGACCAAAGUCACAAAGCCCUGAAGGAGCUACAUUUGCCAUCAAUAACAGCAUCUGAGGGGAUCGAUGCCUGGCUGGGUCACACAAUCAAAAGAUGGACAACUUCAGUGACUUUAGAUUAUUCAAGAGUCGAUUUGCCCAAAGAUUAGUGAAAGGAGCUAAAAUGACUUGGAAAGAGAUUUUCCUGCAUCUCUACUUUCAAUACCUUGUCAGUUUGCAUAUUUCUCUCAGAAAAUUUUAAAAUUAAAAGACUACUUUUAAAAAAGGUAUUUAAAAAUGUAUUGUAAAAGUUUAAAUAAAUUUGCCAAUUGCUUGGGAUCUCUAGCC